rnacentral:rRNA from 1 species
UACGUAGGGUGCGAGCGUUAAUCGGAAUUACUGGGCGUAAAGCGUGCGCAGGCGGUUUUGUAAGCCAGAUGUGAAAUCCCCGGGCUUAACCUGGGAAUGGCAUUUGGGACUGCAAGGCUCGAGUGCGGCAGAGGAGACUGGAAUUCCUGGUGUAGCAGUGAAAUGCGUAGAUAUCAGGAGGAAUACCGAUGGCGAAGGCAGGUCUCUGGGCUGACACUGACGCUCAUGCGCGAAAGCGUGGGGAGCAAACAAGG